rnacentral:rRNA from 1 species
GUCUAUUCUGCCCAUUGAGAAGAUUCUUAAAAGGCCGCAGUAUACUAACUGUGCAAAGGUAGCAUAAUCAGUAGUUUUUUAAUUGGAGGCUUGUAUGAAUGAUUGGAUAAGAAUUAAACUGUCUUUUCUUAGAAAAUUGAAUUUUAUUUUUGAGUGAAAAAGCUCAAAUGAAUCAGAGGGACGAUAAGACCCUAUAAAUCUUUAUGUAAUUAUUCUUAUUUAAUUAUAUAUAAUAUUUGUUAAGUUAUUAAUAAGAAUAAGUUCAUUAUGCUGGGGCGGUAGAAAUAUAAAAAAACUAUUUAAAUAAAAUAACAAAUAUAUUUGUAAGUAGAAGAUCUUAGUUAUGGAAUUAAAAAAUAAGUUACUUUAGGGAUAACAGCAUAAUUUCUUUUGAGAGUCCAAAUCGAAAAAGAAGUUUGUGACCUCGAUGUUGAAUUAAGAAUUCCU